rnacentral:siRNA from 1 species
UGGAACUUAUUUACAAUGGCUGCC